UACGGAGGGGGCUAGCGUUGUUCGGAAUCACUGGGCGUAAAGGGCGCGUAGGCGGCUUUGUAAGUCGGGGGUGAAAGCCUGUGGCUCAACCACAGAAUUGCCUUCGAUACUGCAUGGCUUGAGACCGGAAGAGGUAAGUGGAACUGCGAGUGUAGAGGUGAAAUUCGUAGAUAUUCGCAAGAACACCAGUGGCGAAGGCGGCUUACUGGUCCGGUUCUGACGCUGAGGCGCGAAAGCGUGGGGAGCAAACAGG
rnacentral:rRNA from 1 species